GACGAACGCUGGCGGCGUGCUUAACACAUGCAAGUCGAACGGAAAGGCCUGCUUUCCCUUGUGGAUUGCGGGUACUCGAGUGGCGAACGGGUGAGUAACACGUGAGUGAUCUGCCCCCAACUUGGGUAUAAGCCUGGGAAACUGGGUCUAAUUCCCGAUAGGACUGCAGGGUGGUGCCUGUGGUGGAAAACGAUUUUCUAGUGGUUGGGGAUGAGCUCGCGGCCUAUCAGCUUGUUGGUGGGGUAAUGGCCUACCAAGGCGGCGACGGGUAGCCGGCCUGAGAGGGUGGACGGCCACAUUGGGACUGAGAUACGGCCCAGACUCCUAGGGGAGGCAGCAGUGGGGAAUAGUGCACGAUGGGCGGAAGCCUGAUGCAGCGACGCCGCGUGGGGGAUGACGGCCUUCGGGUGGUAAACUCCUUUCGACCGCGAGGAAGCCACCUGGUUGGAAGGGUGGUGACGGUAGUGGUAGAAGAAGCACCGGCUAACUACGUG
rnacentral:rRNA from 1 species